rnacentral:rRNA from 1 species
CCUACGGGGGGCAGCAGUGGGGAAUAUUGGACAAUGGGCGAAAGCCUGAUCCAGCCAUGCCGCGUGUGUGAAGAAGGCCUUCGGGUUGUAAAGCACUUUCAGUGGGGAAGAAAGCCUUGGGGCUAAUACCCUCGAGGAAGGACAUCACCCACAGAAGAAGCACCGGCUAACUCCGUGCCAGCAGCCGCGGUAAUACGGAGGGUGCGAGCGUUAAUCGGAAUUACUGGGCGUAAAGCGCGCGUAGGCGGUCUGAUAAGCCGGUUGUGAAAGCCCCGGGCUCAACCUGGGAACGGCAUCCGGAACUGUCCGGCUAGAGUGCAGGAGAGGAAGGUAGAAUUCCCGGUGUAGCGGUGAAAUGCGUAGAGAUCGGGAGGAAUACCAGUGGCGAAGGCGGCCUUCUGGACUGACACUGACGCUGAGGUGCGAAAGCGUGGGUAGCAAACAGGAUUAGAUACCCUUGUAGUC